GACGAACGCUGGCGGCGUGCUUAACACAUGCAAGUCGAACGGAAAGGCCCUGCUUUUGUGGGGUGCUCGGGUGGCGAACGGGUGAGUAACACGUGAGUAACCUGCCCUUGACUUUGGGAUAACUUCAGGAAACUAGGGCUAAUACCGGAUAGGAGCUCCUGCUGCAUGGUGGGGGUUGGAAAGUUUCGGCGGUUGGGGAUGGACUCGCGGCUUAUCAGCUUGUUGGUGGGGUAGUGGCUUACCAAGGCUUUGACGGGUAGCCGGCCUGAGAGGGUGACCGGGCACAUUGGGACUGAGAUACGGCCCAGACUCCUACGGGAGGCAGCAGUGGGGAAUAUUGCACAAUGGGCGGAAGCCUGAUGCAGCAACGCCGCGUGCGGGAUGACGGCCUUCGGGGUGUAAACCGCUUUAGCCUGUGACGAAGCGUGAGUGACGGUAAUGGGUAAAGAAGCACCGGCUAACUACGUG
rnacentral:rRNA from 1 species